UGGGUACCUCAGCUGGAUAGAGGAUCAGACCUCGGAUCUGGAAGUCGCCGGUUCGAAUCCGGCACCAU
rnacentral:tRNA from 2 species